AUGUCGUCGGGGAAGGGGGAGGCGAAGGUGCCGGUGGCGGGGCGGCGGAACGUGCUGGUGACGAGCGCGCUGCCGUACGUGAACAACGUGCCGCACCUGGGCAACAUCAUCGGCUGCGUGCUCAGCGCCGACGUCUUCGCGCGCUACUGCCGCCUCCGCGGCCACAACGUGCUCUACGUCUGCGGCACCGACGAGUACGGCACCGCCACCGAGAACAAGGCCAUCGAGGAGGGCUGCUCCCCUCUGGAGAUCUGCGACAAGUACCAUGCAAUCCACAAGGAAGUGUACGAGUGGUUCAACAUCAGCUUCGACCACUUCGGCCGGACAUCCACCCCGCAGCAGACAGAGAUCUGCCAAUCGAUUUUCCACAAGCUGCUGGACAACAACUGGCUCUCAGAGAACACAAUGCAGCAGCUCUACUGCGAAUCAUGCCAAAGAUUCUUGGCGGACAGAUUCGUCGUGGGCUCAUGCCCCAUGGAGGGAUGCGGCAACGACACCGCGAGGGGCGAUCAGUGCGACAGAUGCGGGAGGCUGCUGAAUUCGACCGAGCUGAUUGAUCCCAGAUGCAAGGUUUGUGAGGGCAUACCGGUCGUCCGCCAUACGGACCACUUGUUCUUGGAGCUUCCCUUGUUGGAGGAGAAACUGGAGAAGUACAUCGACGAGGCCUCGGCGACCGGAUCAUGGAGCCAGAACGCAGUUCGCAUCACGGAUGCCUGGUUGAAGGAAGGGCUGAGGCCUCGCUGCAUCACCAGGGAUUUGAAAUGGGGCGUCCCUGUCCCACAUGAGAAGUACAAGGAUAAGGUGUUCUAUGUCUGGUUCGAUGCGCCGAUCGGAUAUAUUUCCAUCACGGCCUGCUACACGCCCGAGUGGGAAAAGUGGUGGAAGAACCCAGAGAAUGUCGAAUUGUAUCAGUUUAUGGGCAAAGACAACGUCCCAUUCCACACGGUCAUGUUUCCCUCUGCUCUACUUGGUACUGGUGAAAACUGGACUCUGAUGAAGAAUAUUAGUGUGACUGAAUAUCUCAACUAUGAAUCAGGAAAGUUCUCGAAAACUAAGGGCAUCGGAGUCUUUGGCAAUGACGCCAAAGCCACAAAUAUUCCUGCUGAUGUGUGGCGAUACUACUUGCUUAGUAAUCGUCCUGAGGCAUCAGAUGCAGUUUUCACAUGGGGAGGUUUGCAGAUAAAGCAUAACAACGAGCUGCUAAAGAAUUUGGGCAACUUCAUCUAUCGAGUGCUAAGCUUUAUCGCAAAACCAGAGGGAGCUGGCUACGGCUCCAUCAUACCUGAAGCACCUAAUGCUGAUAUACAUCCAUUGAGUCAGUCGUUAGCAGAAACUGUUGGUAAUUUGAUUCAGCAGUAUACUGAUGCAAUGGACAAGGUCAAACUAAAACAAGGGCUGAAAAUUGCAAUGGCCAUCUCUAGUGAGGGAAAUGCUUACCUUCAAGAGAGUCAAUUUUGGAAGCUUUACCAACAAGAUCCAGCUAGUUGCGCGACUGUGAUGAAAACUUCAGUUGGAGUUGUCUACCUUCUCGCUUGUUUGCUAGAGCCUUUCAUGCCGUCCUUCUCAAAAGAUGUCUUGCAACAGCUGAAUCUCUGUCCGAAUGAGCAUAUUUCUUUUGCCGAUGAAAAGGGGGAGAGUGACAAGGCGAAAAGGCCUUGGGAUCUCAUACCAUCAAACCACAGGAUUGGGAAAAUUGUGCCUUUGUUCACAGAGUUGAAAGAUGAUGCAGUGGAUAGCUUCAGGGAAACAUUUGCAGGCAGUCAGACCGAAAGAAACGCAAGGGCUAAUUAA
rnacentral:rRNA from 1 species